GGGGCCCGUGCCGGGCUCCCUCGCUGCGAGGGCGGGUUGAGGGCCCAGGGGGAGGUAGGACCGUGCUUCAGAACGAGGUGGAGGCGGUUUCCCAGGUGCCAUUAAGGCGCGCUUUGGAGUCGGGAACGGAGGAGCCACAGGUGCAGCCGGACCCUCCCCGUACUCAAGUAAGGAUGCCUUAAGACAAGAGCUAUGGAUAAAUAUAUCAAAGUACGGAAGAUUGGAGAAGGAUCUUUUGGGAAAGCAAUACUUGUCAAAGCUAAAGAAAAUGGACAACACUAUGUUAUUAAAGAAAUAAACAUCUCUAAGAUGUCAAAUAAAGAGAGAGAAGAAUCAAGGAGAGAAGUUGCUGUUUUGGCUAACAUGAAACACCCAAAUAUUGUCCUGUAUAGGGAGUCAUUUGAAGAAAAUGGCUGUCUGUACAUAGUGAUGGAUUACUGUGAAGGAGGAGACCUAUUUAAAAAGAUAAAUGCCCAGAAAGGAAUCCCGUUCUCUGAAGAUCAGAUCCUGGACUGGUUUGUACAAAUCUGUUUAGCACUAAAACACAUACAUGAUAGAAAAAUCUUGCAUCGCGACAUAAAGUCACAGAAUAUAUUUUUAACCAAAGAUGGAACAAUACAGCUGGGAGAUUUUGGAAUCGCCAGAGUUUUGAACAGUACUGCAGAGUUGGCACGCACUUGCAUAGGAACACCAUACUAUUUGUCGCCUGAAAUAUGUCAGAACAAGCCUUACAACAAUAAAAGUGAUAUCUGGGCCCUUGGUUGUGUUCUCUAUGAAAUGUGUACACUUAAACAUGCGUUCGAAGCCGGUAACAUGAAGAACUUGGUCCUGAAGAUAAUCUCUGGACCUUUUCCUCCUGUUUCUAUGCAUUACUCCUACGACCUACGUAAUCUGCUGUCACAGCUGUUUAAAAGGAAUCCUAGGAAUAGACCAUCAGUAAACUCCAUAUUGGAGAAAAACUUUAUAGCCAAACGGGUUGAAAAAUUUCUCACACCAGAGCUUAUUGCAGAAGAAUUCAGUCACAAAAUUCUUCACAAGUUUGGACCACAUGCUUCACCAGCUAAAAGACCAGUUCAAGAACAAACACUGACUUCAGUUGCACCAGCUCAGAAAAUUACCAAACCUGCUGCAAAAUAUGGAGUGCCUUUAACUAUUAGGAAGUCUUGUGGUGUACCUAAAAAGCCUAAUGAGAAGAAGCCAUUGACUAAAAUUAAACAGGAACCUUCAAAAAAGAAAAGGUUAGAAUUGCCUGAAAAAGAAAAACGCCAGAGAGAGCAGAUCAGUUUACCGAAGGCAGAUGAAAUGAGAAGAUUGGAAAAAGAAAGGAUGGAACGAAUAAACAGAGCCAGGGAACAAGGAUGGAGGAAUGUGCUUGGUUCAGGUGCAAGUGGUGUUAAGGCACCAUAUUAUGUUGGUGGAGGUGGUGUUGGUCCUUUGCCUGUGUCUUCCAGAGGACGCUAUGAGCAUUAUCAUGCUAUUUUUGACCAGAUGCAACAGCAAAAGGAAAAUGUCUUCAGAAUAGCUGAAGAGAGGGAAGCCAAAUUGAGGGCAAAACUACAAGACCGAGGAGUUGUUGAAAGAGGAAUUCCACCUGGAACACGUCCAGGAGUUCCUAAGGGACCUGCAGGUCAUCACCAUUUACCUGAUGUUGGUGCAGUUAGGAAAAAAGUGAAAAGAUUGAAGGAGGUGUCUAAACAAGCCAAUGCAAACAGGCAAAAAGGAUGGAUAGCUGCAGAUAGAGCAAAGCAAGUUGAAGAAUUCUGGCAACGAAAGAGAGAAGCCAUGGAAAACAAAGCUCGAGCUCAGGGACACAUGGGUACACUGCAAAACGUGGCAGAUACCUAUGGAGGCAGGUCCAUUUCUGCAAGAGGAAGGAAAUCAAGAAACAAGGAGGAGGAGGAAUAUUUGGCAAGAUUGAGACAGAUUCGGCUACAGAACUUCAAUGAACGUCAACAGAUUAGAGCGAAACUUCGUGGAGAUAAGACUUUUACUUUGCAGAGUGAAGCUGCCAGUUCUGAUGGACAGGACUCUAGUGAGGAGGCAGAACUGAAACGCAAGAAGAUAGAAACACAGAAGGCCCAAGCAAAUGCUCGUGCUGCAGUUCUGAAGGAACAGUUGGAGCGAAAGAGAAAGGAAGCAUAUGAAAGAGAGAAAAGAGCCUGGGAAGAACAUCUGAUUGCAAAAGGGGUAAGGAAUCCUAAUGUGCCUUUUCAUGUGGAAGAUACAGAACAUAGUUCUGUGGAUGGACUACAAGAGCCUGGAGCAGUUCUUCCUAAGCCACAACUUCCAGUGAAGUCUGGUGUACCUGUCAUCUCCAUGACUUCUGCUUUGAAGGAAGUGGGUGUGGAUGAACAUGUAAUAACUGCUGCCCAGGAAUCUGAGGAGGAAAUAAAAAAGCCAGAUUUUGCAAUACAAAAUAAGCGAGAAAUUCUGAGAAGAUUAAAUCAAAAUCUUAAAGCUCAAGAAGAUGAGAAAGGAAAAAAGGAGGGUAAAAAUACCUCUGAAUCAGGUGGAUCUGAAGAUGGUAAAGAACAAGGUGACCAGCCACUUCUGGGAGAUCGCAAAAAAUGGGAAUCUGGGGUAUCUGAGUUGGUCGUUCCUCUAGCUCAGUUAUCAAUGGAAGAUUCUCUCUCUGGAGCAGAGUGUCAAACUCUGGGAGAAGUAAUUAAGUUAGAUAUUGGUGAACCUCACAGGAAAGUCUGGGGCAAAAGCCCUACUGAUUCAGUUCUGAGGAUCCUAGGAGAAGCAGAGCUGCAGCUGCAAACUGACAUACUUGAGGAACAAGAUGAGAUAAACGGUACUGCAGAACUUCCUGAAGAUCAUCAGUCUUUAUCAGAGGAGAAGGAAGAAAAGGCUUUUUCUCCUGUUGGGGCUCAGUCUUCAGUACCAGUUGGUGUUACAAAGUCUGUCAUGACUGUACCAGAAGAAUCUCAAGGAACUGGACCCACCCUGGUGCAGAACAAACCUAUUAUGCUGGAUGAGCCUGAUGAUUUGGAAGCAGAGGUGCUGGAAGAAAUGGAAGAUAAAAUGCACCAGAAUAAGGAGAAUAAGGAGCUUCCUAGCACUGUUAAUGAAGUGUGGGUAAAAGAGAAAGAGGAUACGGCACAACAUGACAGAAUGAAUGAGGCAGAUUCAGAGAAAGCAGCGCUCAACACGGUGCAACCACAAAAGGAAUCUCCAGCAGAAACUUGUUCCAGCGACUCUCAGCAAGCUGAACCCUUAUUCCAGAGAGUAAUACAGCCCACAGUUUUUCCAACAGCCUCACCAGUUCUGUCAGCUCAGUCUUCACAGGAAGAGUCUUUUGUACCUCGUUCGCGUUCCAUAUCACCAGCAAAAAAUAAAGGCAAAAGUUCAUUGCUGAUUGGACUUUCUACAGGACUUUUUGACGCAAACGACCCAAAGAUGCUGAGGACAUGUUCACUCCCAGAUCUUUACAAAUUGUACAGAACUUUAGUUGAUGUUCCCAGUGUAGCAGAUAUGCAGCAUCAACAUAAUCUUGAAACAGAUGAUACGGAAGAUGAGCAAGCCAAAGAAGGACCCUCUGACUCUGAGGAUAUUAUGUUUGGAGAGACAGAUACAGAUUUGCAGGAGCUCCAGGAUUCGAUGGAACAGUUGCUUAGGGAGCAGCCUAGUGAGGAACUGAGUGAAGAAGAGGAGUCUACUUUAAAGGCUAAUGCCAUGGAAUGCAUAACAAAUGGUACUGAGCUGGAUGAAGGAGAUGAAAAUAACCCCAGCAGUGAAAGUGCUCUUAAUGAAGAAUGGCAGUCAGAUAAUAGUGAUGGAGAGAUUGCCAGUGAAUGUGAAGAAUGUGAUAGUAUCUUCAGCCAUUUAGAAGAGCUGAGAUAUAACCUGGAACAGGAAAUAGGCUUUGAUAAAUUAAUUGAAGUUUAUGAGAAAAUAAAGGCUAUACUUGAAGAUGAAGAUGAAAAUAUUGAUAUUUGUUCAACCAUAGUUCAAACUGUCCUUGGAAAUGAACACAAACACCUGUAUGCCAAAAUACUCCACCUGGUAAUGGCAGAUGGAGCCUACCAAGAAGACUUGCUUUUUGACCCUUGAAGCCAACUCAAAGUUCAGUUUGGGAAUGUUUAAAAGAAAACCAAAACGUCCAAACAAGCAAAAAACCAUCAGCAGAAAGGAGUAACACCCCCAGCAGUGAGCUGGUUUGAACUCAACAGGUACAGUACUCUACCUGGAGCACUGAUGCCUAAAACCUUUGAAGAACAGAGCCCAAAGAGGCUUUUGCUCUUCAAUUUGCUGAAUUCUGAUGAGUGCCUAUUUGAAGUUACUAUUAGAAGAGACUCCAGAAAAAUGUGUUAUCUGGUUGGGCAACGUGAACCAAAGCAGAGCACAGAUUUUUCUGUGGUCUGGACCAGCAGAAGGAAAUGUUCGCCCACCCUCAUGCUUGGUCACGAAGCAGAGCGUCAUUGAUUAAAUUGCUGAGAAGAUGGGUGUGAGCCAAAGCACCAGACUCUGAGCUGCAGUUGGUGAGGAUAUGAACACGUCUUCCAUUCUGCUUAUUCUGCCACAGUGAACACAAUCUCCAUCAGAAGGAUGGGCUAUAACAGAUGGAGCUAUAACUUAAACCACUUUGUAACAGUUCCUAAAGCUCAUCUGUCAAGGAUGGUGCCAGACUGCUUGUGCAGUGUUAGUAAGAGAAAUUUAUGUAUGAACAUACAAUGUGAAAUAGGCCUGCUGAGAAGCAAAAGCUAUGUAGCCUAUAGUGUUUAUCUUGCAUUAAUCAAGUUGUAAUGCAUUUACUUAGCACUAUUUUUGUUUUCGCUUGCUGGCAAAAUCCCCACAAAUGUUUUAUUCUGCCUUACAGCAGUUAAAAAGGUGAGAAGUGUAUAACUGAAAUAAUUUACUAAUUGUGUAAUUUCCUGGCUUAUGGCACUAUAAACCAUGGAGGCUUCUUAGAGGAUCACACUAAUCCAUAGUAUGACACAGGUCAGAUCACUUCCUAGAGUCACUAGUUUUAACAAAGCUAUCUAUGACAUUUCAACUCAGGUAUUUUCAGCUGAAACUCAGAAGACUGUCAAGCCUGUAAGAUGUGGGGUGUCCCCUAUCCCUCCAUUCUGCAUUUCUGUCUUAGUGGUGUCUGAAGAAUAUGCUGCUCACAGCUACACUGACGGUCAUGGAAAUUGCAGCUUCCAGGUGUCUUCCAGGAGAAGAAACAACAUACAUUGAAGAAAAAAAAGAAGUGUACCUGAAACAGAAGAAAAGUUAAUUACACGAAAAAUGUGUAAAAUACAAAUAUUAAUAGACAUUAUAAUUGUAGAAAUCCAGGUGAUUGAGUAACUGGAGGGCCUCAUCUUUCAAAUCUGUGUUUUUAAAGGAUUUCUGCCCUUUGCAUCAUGUACUCAGUAAAAGCUGUACAAGGAACUAAUAACUGUGCAUUAGGAUGGGAUGAUUUCAAGAAGUGAGGCCUUCUCACGUAAAAAUGUCUGAAGAGUACAAUUCCCUGCUUAUGGCUGGUAGUAGGAAAGAAAAAUGCUUCAAUGUAAAAGCAAUUCUGUUCCUUUCAGUCCUGGCACCGGCGUAUUCCAGCCUCUCUGAGUCACUUACUGUGUAAGAGGGCAGUGGCAUACAUCUGCACACACCCCCACGUUUUUUUACAUGGAUCAUAACUGUUUGAAAAUUAACUACAGCUACUGCUCAGGAAGUAACAUAUUUACCUGAUACUCUUCAUAUUACCUGAUACUAUAUAUUACUAUAUAUAUUACUGAUACUAUAUAUAUAUAGUAUAUAACACAUUACCUGAUACUACACAUAUCUACCUGAUACUCUUACAUAUUUACUCUGACACUCUCAGAGUAUUUACUGCUUUGGUGUGUAUUCCACAAUGUAUUUAGUAUUUUACAGACUUUACAUAAAACACUAUCAAAGACCAACCCUGAUAAAGGGGUAAUCUUUUUAUCCUGCUUCCCUGAACUUUCAUCUUGCUUCCCUGGUACACCACUGGUGUUGUAAAUUCCUUUACUGUUUUAAUAGAUAUUUUACAUUCCUUAGGCAGCAAACUAAGUUUAGACAACAGUAAUUGUCUUGCUUACAAAAUUGUGCUAGAAAAGCUGGCAAAUUAUUACCAUGAGAUCUUUUGAAGAAGCUAUGUCCAAAACUGAAAUCCAAUUGCAAGACGAGACUUGGUUAGAUUCAACAAGUCUCUGUUUCAAAUGUACUGAUUAUCCUUUUUUCUGUAGCGACAGCACAAACAUGGCAAGAUAGGGGAAUACUAUGAGACAUAGGAGUAUUCUUAUGUAUCAGAUGUUUAUACCCUUCUAUUUAUGUUACGAUACUCCCUGGAAAGCACAGACAUAGACCAGAAAUCCAUCUGUAUCAGUUUUCCUAAACUCCAGAAUUCAUGGGGGAGGAAACCUUAUUUCUUAAUGAACUGUACAUAUUUAGCUGCUUCAAUAUUUCCACUACCAUGACUGAAAAAUAAAAUAAAAUAUUGGAGAUGCAGUAUGAGUACUUGGAAAUCCUAAUAAUUGUAGAAUAUCAUUACCAUUGGAAACAACAAAGUUAGCAUAUCCAGAAAGACAGAAAAGCCUGUCACACUAUCAGCUUGUCCAAAUCUACACAACCCAUGUGUGAAAAAGAAAAAAAAAAAAAAAAAA